GGAUGGGUGAGGGGAGAGAAAGAGCCAUGGAGGUGAGAGCGGAACAUCAGUCGCCGCCUCCUGCACACCCCACUGGGGGUUGAGCCUGCAGCCCCGCAUGUGCCCCAACUGGGAAUCGAACCAGCAACCUUUUGGUGCACGGGACUCAUCAACCAACUGAGCUACACCGGCCAGGGCAGACCAACAGUAUUUUGUUUGUGAGAUGGACCUACGUGCCAGAAAAGGAGUGUGGGGGCCAUCCGAGGGAACACAGGGACCAGACACAGGGAGGCGCUGGCGUCAGGAGAAAGAGGGAGAGGAAGAGAGAGACGGAGACUUCAAUGAGGGAGAACA